GUCGGGAUAGCUCAGUUGGUAGAG
rnacentral:tRNA from 7 species